UUAAAUUGUGGAGCAGCUGUUUGUUAAACAAACUUCUUAAUUUUGCUGCCUUAAGGACUUAAAUAACCUCUUAAUUUUGCUCUCUGAGUGACACUAGGAUGAUGCAUUUCACUUAAAAAGACACAUGCCAUGGAGUGUUUCUCAACUGUACUCAAAAGUAUUGGAACAUUUGGCAUUUCA